GACCGAAAAAUUAACAAAUCUAGCCCUAGCGUCUCCUUCCUCUCCCUUUUCUCACUGAAGCUCGAGCUCUCAUUUCUUUGUUCACCGGCUCAAUCUUAAGCUCACCAGAGAUUGCCGCUGGAAGGCUUUUCCAGCAAAGAAACCAUUCGACAACGAUAGAGAAGAUCUCCGGCAACGAUUCUUCCUCUCUCGUCCUUGCUUGUAUGAUUGUCGACAAUGAAGAAAUCGAUUAGUUAGUUGAAGUCCAUAUAUUCUCUUUUGUUGUUGGAAGAGUAUUUACAACAGAUAUAGAAAAACUAAAAGUCAGCAGUAGAAAAAGAUCUCUAGAUAUUACUCAAGUUUUUAAAGAUGAAGACAAUUUGAAAUCAAAUUCUUUAAAUUAAUGGCUUGAGAUCAUCCAUAGAAUAUGCAUCACUGGAUAUAAUUCUAUUUGAAGGUCUCUUGACAUUUCCAAUGAUUAGUUCUCAAUUUUGCAAAAUCAUCACGCAUUCAAGAAGCCGAUAAAAAUCUACAAUUGAGGAUUUGUAUCAUCUCAGCCCGUCAAUAUAAUAAUACAUUCUGCCAGUGGCACUCUGCAGCUUUUAGGAGGUGGCAAAAGAAGUAUGUAGAGGAUAGAGUUGCUAUCUAUCAAUCUUAUGUUGGAAAUCACAUUAUUAUAGUUUAGGAGAUAGGUGUAUAGCCUUAAACAGUUGCUUACUGGUUAGUGGUUAUUGAAUCUCAUUCCCUUAGGUUCUCAUCUCGUUGGUGAUUCCUUUGUAUUUUAGUAUAUAAGAUUUUGGGUUUGGCUUUAUAUAGAAGUUAUAGGGAUUACUCAUAUGUCUUCCAUGUCUGCUUCUAUUGUCUUUCCUUGGAGAGACUAGAAAGUUAGGAUUUUUUAUAUGCUUUUGCAGGGUCUUCCAUGUAAUUUAAUUUCAUGACUGGUUUUAAUUUUCAAUAUAAGCAUAUUAUUGAUUUCACUUUAAUAGUAAUAUUAGUUUGCUCUCA